rnacentral:rRNA from 1 species
UUGAAGGAUUUUUUCCUUUGUGAAAGAGUUUUGAGCGAGCUUUUUUGAAGCUCGCUUGAUGGAGGGGAGUGGCAGACGGGUGAGUAACGCGUGGGAAUCUACCUUGAACUACGGGAUAGCUCCGGGAAACUGGAAUUAAUACCGUAUGUGCCCUUAGGGGGAAAGAUUUAUCGGUUCAAGAUGAGCCCGCGUCCGAUUAGCUAGUUGGUGGGGUAAAGGCCUACCAAGGCGACGAUCGGUAGCUGGUCUGAGAGGAUGACCAGCCACAUUGGGACUGAGACACGGCCCAAACUCC